rnacentral:lncRNA from 1 species
AAAAAAUGUCCAGCUAGAGGAACCAAAGACCUCCAUUUGGGCCCAGAUCUGUGGAGGUAGCUGAUAGUCAUUUGAUUUUCUCAAUCCUGGCUUAACACGAUUUUGUCACCACCAACAAAAUUGCUCAAGAG